rnacentral:rRNA from 1 species
CCAAUAGCGUAUAUUAAAGUUGUUGCAGUUAAAAAGCUCGUAGUUGAACUUCGGGAUCAAUGGAUCGGUCAUGCCCUCGGUAUGUACUGGUCUCGUUGGUUCUCACCUUCUAAGGAACCAUGAUGUCAUUCAUUUGAUGUUAUGGGAAAUUAGGACUGUUACCUUGAAAAAAUUCGAGUGUUUAAAGCAGGCUUACGCUUGAAUACAUUAGCAUGGAAUAAUGAAAUAGGACAUCGCAUUCUAUUUUGUUGGUUUCUAGGAUCGAUGUAAUGAUUAAUAGGGAUAGUUGGGGGCAUUAGUAGUAAAUUGUCAGAGGUGAAAUUAUUGGAUUUAUUGAAGACUAACUACUGCGAAAGCAUUUGCCAAGGAUGUUUUCAUUAAUAAAGAACGAAAGUUAGGGGAUCGAAGACGAUCAGAUACCGUCGUAGUCUUAACCAUAAACUAUGCCGACUAGGGAUCGGAUGAUGUUGAUUUUAUAAUGACUCAUUCGGCACCUUACG